CUUGCAAUUAGAUCCUUCAACCUUGUCAAGACUCAAGAUGACUACAGCACCAGCUGGUGUAUUGACUGUAACCUCUAGAGAGAGACCCAGAGCCAGAACCAACCAGAAUAAAAUUAUAUGAUGUUCAAGUUUAACUUUGGUGGCAACAAUGAACAAUAUGAAUCCACCCAUGGCAAAUUCCGUGGCACAGUCAAGGCUGACAAUAGGAAACUUGUCAUCAAUGGAAAGCCUAUCUCCAUCUUCCAGAAGUAAGAUCCCACCAACAUCAAAUGGGGUGAUGUUGGUGCUGAGUAUGUUGUGAAGUCCACUGGGUCUUCACUAUCAUGCAGAAGCCUGGGGCUCAGCUGAAGUGUGGGGCCAAGUGAGUCAUCAUCUCUGCUCCUUCUGCUGGUGCCCUCAUGUUUGUGAUGGAUAUGAACCAUGAGAAAUAUGGCAACUCCCUCAAAAUCGUCAGCAAUGCGUCCUGCACCACCAAUCACUUGGCCCCUCUGACCAAGGUCAUCCACAAAAACUUCAGCAUUAUGAAGAGACUCAGGACCAUGAGUCCAUGCCAUCACUGCCACCUAGAAGACCAUGGAUGGCCCUCUGUGAAGCUGUCAUGUGAUGGCUAAAUGGUUGUUCAGAACAUCAUCCCUGCUUCUACCAGCACUGUCAAGGCUAUAGGCAAGGUCAUCCCUGAGCUGAACAGGAAGUUCACUGGCAUGGCCUUCCGUGUCCCCACCCCUAAUGAGUCUGUCGUGGAUCUGAUCUGCUGUCUGGAGAAAGCUGCCAAAAAUCAUGACAUCAAGAAGGUGGUGAAGCAGGCAUCAGAAGACCCUGUCAAGGGCAUCCUGGGCUACACUGAGGACCAAGUUGUCUUCUAUGACUUUACCAGUGACACUCACUCUUCCAUCUUAGAUGCUGAGACUGGCAUUGCUCUCAGUGGCCACACUGUCAAACUUAUUUCCUGGUAUCACAAUGAAUUUGGCUACAGCAUCUAUGUGGUGGACCUUAAGGGUCCACAUGGCCUCCAAAGAGUAAGAGCCCCCUGGACCAUCAGCCCCAGGAAGAGCAAGAGGAAGAGAGAGGCCCUCAGUUGCUGUAAAAUCCUUGCCCCAACUCAUCUCCCAACACACUGAGAAUUUCCUGACCUCCACAGUUUCCAUCCCAGACUCCUUGAAGAAGGGGAGGAGUUUGAGGAGACCUACCUUGUCCUGUACCAUCAAUAAAGUAUAUUGUAUUCAGCGUAAAAAAAAAAAAAAAAAAAAAAAAUCAUGUUAGGUAGCUAUUUUAAAAUAUAUUUUUUAAAAGAGCUUUCAGAACUUCUGAGGAAGAGGAGUUGCAUUUAGGAGGACCCUAAGAGUUUAGGGAUGCAACUAGAUAACAUAAAAUAACCCAGAAAGAGAAAUGAAGACUGACAGAAUAGACUCCAUGGCUAAAUAUAGAAGCCGCAUGAAGACAGAGACAUUUGGAAGCUAAAAAGACCAGCAGUGCUGUCCAUGGAAGGGAGGGACACUGUGGGCACAGAACCGGAGAGAAAAACACCCUCGCAUCAGGCCCCCCAGGCACAGGGAACCUCAACAGGGAGGACAUAUCCCUAUAACAUUUAGCUUUGAAAGGAAGAGGGUUUUAAUUUCUUGAAUUCAUUUUUUAAAGAUUUAUUUAUUUAUUUGAGAGAAAGAGUGAGAGA